CACGUCGCCGCAGCCCUCUUCCGCUCCUCCCUCUCCCCACUCGCGAGACCGCCCCAACCACCGCAACCUUCCUCCGCCGUGCCCUCGCCGCCGUCCGUCCGUGCUCCACUUGCUGCUGCGGCCGCUCUCGCCCGUGCCCUCGCCGCCCAGGCCCGCGCCCGCCCUCGCCGCCACGCCCUCACCCUCGCCCUCGCUGCCGCGCCUGCUCUCGCCCAUGCCCUCGCCGCCGCCGCCGCCGCCCUCGCCUUCGCCCUCGCCGCCGCGCUCGUGCUCUUGCCGCCGGGCUGGCCGCCGCCGCUCCCAUGCCCUAAACUCCCCUGUCCCCUUCCCGAUCACCAGAUAAAAAAACUCGCCUCCCCCGUCCCCUUGCCCAUCACCAGAUAAAAAAAAACCCGCCUUCCUUCCUCGCGAUCAGCCAUGGCGACCGCUACUGCGUCCCAGGUGGCUCUCUCGCCGCCAGUUGGCUCGGAUCGCGGCGUGAGGAGUUCCGGAAUCGAGGUCCCUCUGGCAAAAUAAUGCUCCUACCUGAGGAUGAUCCAAGUGCAACCCAUAUCAUGAUUGCCACUGGCACUGGUGUUGCUCCCUUCCGUGGUACCUACGCCGUAUGUUCAUGGAAGAUGUCCCAAAUUAUAGAUUUGGUGGCCUAGCCUGGCUCUUCCUUGGCGUUGCUAACUCAGACAACCUUCUCUAUGAUGAAGAGUUCACAAGUUAUCUUAAGUAGUAUCCAGACAAUUUCAUGUUAGAAGACCUUAUCAAUCUUAGAACCUUGUUUCUGCCCCCCCCCCCCCCCCAAUCUCCUCUUUUGAAGACAAUCACCUGGUUUCAGUUUACACUUGUCCACAACGACUUAUUAGAUGCUGCUGUCAACUUACAUCAUCAUAGAGCAGUAUUCAGAUUUGAGAGAGCAGCAUAAAUGAACUGGUUGUGCCCAGUGUAUUGUUAGAAUAUAUAACCGAGUUGUCGAAUCUGUAGGUAUGAUAAAACACUCAGCAGGGAGCAGAAGAACAGGAGCAGUGGCAAGAUGUACGCAUUCAGCUGCCUCUGCUUGAGCCUGUUGAUUGUGUGUUUGUGUGGCUUUGUCGGUGAGUGAGGUGGUGACCCCGGUGCUGUGCAGUAUGCAGGAUGUCAGGGGCUCGUCCAAGAGUUUCCCCAAGCACGAGGUGAGGCAUGUCUCUGACCAUAAGAAUGUUGUCCGGUGUGCGAAAUUUAGUCCUGAUGGGAAGUAUUUUGCAACUGGGAGUGCAGCCACACCAUUUAAGUUCUUUGAGGUAGGAUCUCGCGUUUGGAUAGUGAGAUUUUGGGUGAAAUGUAGCUCAUAAUUCUGCUUGUUUGAUCCUUGUUUGUGUGCUCGUUUGAAUGGUGGUGUUGGUGUCGUUAGAUUGUGGUAGAUCUGGAAUGGGUUCAUCGUGCCAUGGUGAAAGUAUGUUCUUAGGAGUUUGUUGGAGGAUCGGCCAAAAAUUCAAAUUUAGCUAAAAUCACACUCAUUUUUCUUUUUUUUAAAGGUUGGGUGUUUUUAAGUGGAGGAUUGGAAUGCUAUUACCAAAUAUGCGGCCUUUCUUUAUGGAGGGGAAUGAGAUGAAUUUCCUCUACUUGGUUGUUGUGUUUUAUUUUUAUAAGGGUUAUUUGUUCGUUGUAGGUAUGAAUUCUAAAUGCAAUAUAGUUCAAUUGGAGAUCAGUGAGUGUAUUGUUUGGCUACGCUUAGGGGGCAAAAGACAAGCAUGUGAUUGCUUUUAUUGAUAUAAGCAAUAGUUUUUGCAUAUAUUUGAUGUCAUCUUGUGUAAUUUUUGUUUUCGUUGGCACAGGUAAUAACUAGUACUUUUAAAAGUAUAUUCGGACAUGCAUCACACACACGCAAUCCACGUCCCCAAACAUAGGCGUGCACAACCACUACAUAGGGAAUUUUAAAGGAGACUCCAAACUUAAGCCUCAAGUGGCACGCCACGCACUAUCCCUUGAACACGUAUAUAAGUAUAUUUUCUCUAAUCAGAUAAGGCACACCAUGUCCAUUGUCAGACGUAUAAUGAUCAUUCUAUAUUGUUAUCCUUAUUUUUAAUUGGAAAAAAAA